rnacentral:rRNA from 1 species
UACGAAGGGGGGCGAGCGUUGUCCGGAAUUAUUGGGCGUAAAGCGCGCGCAGGUGGUUUCUUAAGUCUGAUGUGAAAGCCCACGGCUCAACCGUGGAGGGUCAUUGGAAACUGGGGAACUUGAGUGCAGAAGAGGAAAGUGGAAUUCCACGUGUAGCGGUGAAAUGCGUAGAGAUGUGGAGGAACACCAGUGGCGAAGGCGACUUUCUGGUCUGUAACUGACACUGAGGCGCGAAAGCGUGGGGAGCGAACAGG